rnacentral:rRNA from 1 species
AUGCACCGGAUCCCAUCAGAACUCCGCAGUUAAGCGUGCUUGGGCGAGAGUAGUACUUGGAUGGGUGACCUCCUAGGAAGUCCUCGUGUUGCACCCC